UACGGAGGGUGCGAGCGUUGUUCGGAAUCACUGGGCGUAAAGGGCGUGUAGGCGGUCCGCUAAGUCUGAUGUGAAAGCCCGGGGCUCACCCCCGGAAGUGCAUUGGAAACUGACGGACUCGAGUCCCGGAGAGGAGGGUGGAAUUCCUGGUGUAGCGGUGAAAUGCGUAGAUAUCAGGAGGAAUACCAGUGGCGAAGGCGGCUCCCUGGACCGGUACUGACGCUGAGGCGCGAAAGCGUGGGUAGCAAACAGG
rnacentral:rRNA from 1 species